rnacentral:tRNA from 1 species
AUUAUUUUGGCAGAUUUAAAUGCAAUGAAUUUAGAAUUCAAUUAAAUAUAAUUUAAUUAUAUAGAUAAUA